CUGGGGAUUGAACUCAGGGGCACUCGACCACUGAGCCACAUCCGCAGCCCUAUUUUGUAUUUUAUUUAGAGACAGGGUCUCACUGAGUUGCUUAGUGCCUCACUUUUUGCUGAGGUUGGCUUUGAACUCACAGUUAAAAGUGUGUGCCACCACACCCAGAUUUUUUUUCUUUUUUGAGAAAUCCUCAAAAUUCUCAUUUUAAGAAUGGUCUUGCUAAGUUUUGCAAAGUUGCUGAGGCUGACCUUGAACUUGGGAUCUUCCUGCCUCAGCUUCCCCAGUCUCUGGGAUUACAGAUGUGCACUGUGCUUGGAUAGGGAAUGUCAUUUUAAAUAUCUUGCCCACAGAAGUGCUCACUGAGAAGGUGGCAUUUAAAAGACCUUUUUAGGGCUGGGGUGUAGCUGCACGGUAGAGCUCUUGCCUAGAUGCAGGAGGCCCUGGCAGAAGGACAGUUCACAGCCUAUAUCCACCACCAGCAUUCAGCAAUUGGUCGUAUUUUGCCACAUCUGCUGCUUCUCACUUUUCUGUACUUGAUGAACCAUUUAGAAUUCAUUUCAGACACCCACGGAGACUUCCCUUCGUGUCCUUUAGUGGCGAAGGCAUUCUUAUCAUUGUACCGCUCUACUACAUCCAAUUAACAAUAAUUCCGAAUAUCUCCCAGUUCUCUGUUGGAAGAGGCAUUUGACCAGCCAUGCGAAGCAGGUGAGAGGUGGGCCAUGUGAGUACCCGGCAGAAGAACAUGCCAGCAGAGGGGACAGCCACUGCAAAGGCCCUAGGCUGAGUUUUUAUCUCCCAGGAACUGAGAGGAGGACGAUGUGGCUGGACUGAAGUGAAUGAGCCAGGAGGACAGGUAAGAUAUGAGGGCAGAGAGGAAGGAUCCAGAUACCGCAGAGCCUUGUGGCCCUCGGCGAUCCCUUUGGCUUUUCUGCGUCAGCAGGUGCCCCUGGAAUUCGCGGGCCCAGGACGGACCUGACCUGCGGUAAGUGGGAACUGGCGCCCCCUCGCGGAGGUGCGGCGAAAGCCGGGAGCUUCGGGCGCGGAGGGUGAAGAGUCCAGGUGUGUCGCCCGUGCGCCGGCCCAGGUGGUGACCCGGGGACGGCCCGAAGCAGUGGGAUUCAGGAUGCAUUUUGAAGGUCACGCGAAUGGGAUUGUUAGGAAACUGACAUGUUAAUUGACACCCCUCCCUGCCAGGAGAGGAGAACGGGAAACAGGACUUCUUCCACGCGCUCUUUCGUGUGGUUGCAGGUGAUUCACGGAAGACGCUUCACGUCGCUUCCCUUCCUGCGGUCGAUCGAUCUGUGGAUGAACGUGUGGGUGGGUUCCAGUUGUAAGUUUUUACCAAUAAAGUUUAUGGCUGCAUCUAGCGGUAGCAUAUGCUAAUCAGCUGAAUUAAUCACUUCCCACCCACUACCCAUGUAGGGGAG
rnacentral:lncRNA from 1 species